rnacentral:ncRNA from 2 species
CGCCCGUGCGCGGGAGAGUUUCGUGACGGCCAGUCACGGACGCCGAAGGAGCAACACCUCUCCGUCAACCUCUCAGGCCCCCGGACCGCGCCCGACCA